rnacentral:lncRNA from 1 species
GGAUCAUCUGAGAAGACCUGCUACACUAAAAGUAAAGUCAUCAACCAACCUUCCAGAAGGCCUCAGGACAGUAAGAAUCCAUAGAUUUGGUGGAAACCUCAACAUCCAUAAAGAAGAAAUGAGAAAAAAAUACUGCAAUGAUUUAUAAGCAAGAACUUCUGAAAACUGAAGAGGAAGAAAAGUCCGAAAAAGCAGCUCAGAAGGCAAGUGGUUUCUCAAGGUCCACAGUGGGACUUCAGCCUCAUUUAUUAAGCAGCAGAGUUUUAGAAGCCUUAUGCAGAAAUGAGUAAAAACCAAGGGGUGAAUGAAGACAGGGUUCGUCCCCCUCCACACACCUUCUCACCACUGUGAUAAACAAUCUAUAAUAAACAGUCAUUUUACAUCAGAA